rnacentral:rRNA from 1 species
AGAGUUUGAUCCUGGCUCAGGAUGAACGCUAGCUACAGGCUUAACACAUGCAAGUCGAGGGGCAGCAUGGUCUUAGCUUGCUAAGGCCGAUGGCGACCGGCGCACGGGUGAGUAACACGUAUCCAACCUGCCGUCUACUCUUGGACAGCCUUCUGAAAGGAAGAUUAAUACAAGAUGGCAUCAUGAGUCCGCAUGUUCACAUGAUUAAAGGUAUUCCGGUAGACGAUGGGGAUGCGUUCCAUUAGAUAGUAGGCGGGGUAACGGCCCACCUAGUCUUCGAUGGGUAGGGGUUCUGAGAGGAAGGUCCCCCACAUUGGAACUGAGACACGGUCCAAACUCCUACGGGAGGCAGCAGUGAGGAAUAUUGGUCAAUGGGCGAGAGCCUGAACCAGCCAAGUAGCGUGAAGGAUGACUGCCCUAUGGGUUGUAAACUUCUUUUAUAAAGGAAUAAAGUCGGGUAUGCAUACCCGUUUGCAUGUACUUUAUGAAUAAGGAUCGGCUAACUCCGUGCCAGCAGCCGCGGUAAUACGGAGGAUCCGAGCGUUAUCCGGAUUUAUUGGGUUUAAAGGGAGCGUAGAUGGAUGUUUAAGUCAGUUGUGAAAGUUUGCGGCUCAACCGUAAAAUUGCAGUUGAUACUGGAUAUCUUGAGUGCAGUUGAGGCAGGCGGAAUUCGUGGUGUAGCGGUGAAAUGCUUAGAUAUCACGAAGAACUCCGAUUGCGAAGGCAGCCUGCUAAGCUGCAACUGACAUUGAGGCUCGAAAGUGUGGGUAUCAAACAGGAUUAGAUACCCUGGUAGUCCACACGGUAAACGAUGAAUACUCGCUGUUUGCGAUAUACGGCAAGCGGCCAAGCGAAAGCGUUAAGUAUUCCACCUGGGGAGUACGCCGGCAACGGUGAAACUCAAAGGAAUUGACGGGGGCCCGCACAAGCGGAGGAACAUGUGGUUUAAUUCGAUGAUACGCGAGGAACCUUACCCGGGCUUAAAUUGCAGAUGAAUUACGGUGAAAGCCGUAAGCCGCAAGGCAUCUGUGAAGGUGCUGCAUGGUUGUCGUCAGCUCGUGCCGUGAGGUGUCGGCUUAAGUGCCAUAACGAGCGCAACCCUUGUUGUCAGUUACUAACAGGUCAUGCUGAGGACUCUGACAAGACUGCCAUCGUAAGAUGUGAGGAAGGUGGGGAUGACGUCAAAUCAGCACGGCCCUUACGUCCGGGGCUACACACGUGUUACAAUGGGGGGUACAGAGGGCCGCUACCACGCGAGUGGAUGCCAAUCCCAAAAACCUCUCUCAGUUCGGACUGGAGUCUGCAACCCGACUCCACGAAGCUGGAUUCGCUAGUAAUCGCGCAUCAGCCACGGCGCGGUGAAUACGUUCCCGGGCCUUGUACACACCGCCCGUCAAGCCAUGGGAGCCGGGGGUACCUGAAGUGCGUAACCGCGAGGAGCGCCCUAGGGUAAAACUGGUGACUGGGGCUAAGUCGUAACAAGGUAGCCGUACCGGAAGGUGCGGCUG